UAAGGCUGUGCAAUCAGUUUCACAAAGGUUUACGAAAGUCUUCUAAUAUCUCUGUAAAAGAGACGGACAUCACGCGGCGUCAAUCAUCGGCUCUAUGGCCCGUGCAUUGUUUACAUAAGACGUUAUUGGUUCGGGCAGAAUGGUGCCUUUUACUCAUUUCAAUACCAAUUUACACUAAAUAGGAACUAAUUUUUCCCUACAAAUACUUCAAACGUCUUUAUUUAUUACAAAAAUGUUUUAAAAUUUAAUUUGUCGGAGGAAAAAAGUUAAUAUUUGUGGUUCAUUAAGUCGCAACGAUGUCAUCCUUAUCAGUGAUUGUAGCGGCCUAGCGAAUAUUCACUGCUGAUCAGUGUGAAGGCUGCGGUCUUCUUGCUUUCGCGUUUACUAAGUGCGAAGACAAAGCAAAUGGGUUGACCAUGCAAUUUGAUCUCAAAACACAGAAGUAUGAUUUGUAAUUUGAAUUAGGACAAAGGUGUAGGUUAUAUGAUUGUAAUUCAAAAGCUUUUUCAAUCAAGUAAGAUCUAAAAAUAGAAUAAUAUUGUGCAUACGUCAAUUAACCGAAACUAAACUAACUUAAAAACUUCCCGCUUAUAGUGAGUCAGUCGGGAAGUACAAGGUAUACGAAAGUGCAGUUGCGUCAGACAGUUUGUUAAGGGAAAUCUAUAGAGAACACCUGACCUGGUGAACCAUAAAUAAGAGUCUGACCAGGUAAACCAUAUAUCACAGUCUGACCAGGUAAACCACAAAUCACAGUCUGACCAGGUAAACCAUAUAUCACAGGCUGACCAGGUUUCCCAAAGUGGCGCCUCCAAUAAAACUAAUAUGUCAGCAAGCGCCGUUGUGUCGAAGGGGAGAAUGCAGGAAGCCCAUUACGACAUAUGGAAGAACUGUUCUUUUGACCUCAGAGAAGAUUUCAAAGGAAACAUAGAGGACCUGGCUUGCCAUUUCUUUAGACAUUGUAUUAUUUCUGAUGACGAUAAAGCACAAACAGAGAAGAGGAGGGCAUCGGAUGGAAACCAGGCAGCUGCGGUUUACCUAAUCGACAUCCUGUCUGAUCGAGGAAACGAUGUUCUACCCCGAAUAAUUAAAGUCUUAGAAAAAUGUGGACAUAAGCAUAUGGCCGGCGUUCUUGGUAAUGUUGUAGCAAGCACCGUAGUGUCGAGGGGGAGAAUGCAGGACGCCCAUUACGACAUAUGGAGGAACUAUUCUAUAGAGCUCAGAGAAGAUUUCAAAGGAAACAUCGACGACCUGGUUUUGCGUUUCUUUGGAUAUUGUAUCAUUUCUGAUGAGGAUAAAGCACAAACAGAGAAGAGGAGGGCAUCGGAUGGAAACCAGGCAGCUGCGGUUUACCUAAUCGACAUCCUGUCUGAUCGAGGAAACGAUGUUCUACCCCGAAUAAUUAAAGUCUUAGAAAAAUGUGGACAUAAGCACAUUGCCCGCGUUCUUGAUACAGAUGUAAAGGCCUUGUCUUCAUUGGGCGACAGCGAUUCGGUUGAUAAGUGAUGCUGUAGACUUACUAAGUCAUACGAUGAAGUAAUUGGGAUGCAUAACAAUAUUUGAAAUGUUAAUACAUAAUCAUUUAAACAUGCAUUAUGCAAGAGCUAAAUCUGCUUAUUAUAAGUCUUUGGUUGGGCUUGGAAUGUUAUCUGAAUUAUUAAUUAGACAUUAAUUAACGGAUCAGGGUCAUAAUCAACUCUCGAUGCCAUCGUUAGCCUGUGAUCUUUAGUGGAUUUGAAUACAUUUUGUGAUAAUCGAGUCUUCGUUAAUUAUAGAACCAACGUUAGUAAUGAUGAUCGAGGCUAGUCGAAAAGUGAAUCGUUAAUAUCUUGAUUCCGAGUGAAGUAAUUUGGCUGACAUUUUCAGCAUUUUCUGUUUUCAUUAUCUAUUUUUAAACUAUUAUAGCGAGAACUGUAUAAUAUAAAAAUAAGCACUUUGUAAAGAUUUCCCUUUGUAGUCAGUCAUUCAUUAUUGGGGGGGGGGGGGAUGGCCGAAUGGUUAGCACGUGCGUGCUGUAUCAUACGGCCUGUCAUUGAGUCAACUGGCGUGGUUGUACGUGACAAGGAGUUGGGUCGCCUGUCCAAUCUCGUGGGUUUUCUCCGGGUCCUCCGGUUUCCUCCCACUGCUAAAGACCCCAACACGCAAGCGAAUUAUUGAAAUAAAAUUAAACCAUAUGUUAGUCCCGAAAUGACCUAGUUUGUGUCGAGUGGACGUUAAACCCCAUUUCUCUCUCCCAUUCAUUAUUGCCGUAACCUAACUGUGUUUAUUAAAUGACUUACAUUUAGCAAAUUAUUUAUUUAGACAGUAUAUAUGUUUUGUUUUGUGGGAUUUGUAUUUCUUAUUAUUAUUGAGAUUUUCCGACAUCGUUUUGCGUCUUGGUUUAUUACAUGCAACGUUUCAGUACUCUUAUAGGUAUCUUUAUCAAGCUUGUAAGAGUAUUGAAACGUUGUAUGUAAUAAACCAAGAAGUAGUAAAUCCAUAAAGUUGUGUUAUUAUGAAUAUA